GUCCUGCAUUGUGCCUGUUGCUUACCGGGAUAGACUCUGGCUGCCCUCCGACCCUGCAUUGGAUAAAGCAGUAAGAAGAUGGAUGAAAGGAUGGAUAAAUAACUGGGGAAUAAGUAAAUAAGUGGUUGGGAAAGUCCUGUUCAAAAUAAUGGUCAGACCCUAUGUGAUUCAGGUCUUCAUCAUACAGACAUACAGGAAUGACUCGGAGAACCAGACGCAAUCAUGGGAAUCACCAUAAUGGGAAGUAGCUAAGGCAUUCAAGGCCCAUCUCUCCACUAACUCGAAGGCCUCGGCAGCAGUAGUGAGGAACAGGAAGCAUCCAUGUUGGACGAAGACUCAAGAACUGGAACCAAAGACCCACCAAGACACACCGAAAGACUGAUGUACCAGGAUCCUUUCACAACCUCAUCCUGAAGACUCUUAACUGAAAGGCCUAGAGUGUUGAUAUUGGCUGUCCAGUGCUCUAAGCUUGGCCUUUAACUGCUUCGUGCAGUUUGCCUCAUCUGCUAUAUGUCUCUGGACUUUGUUGCUGGGUACAAAU